rnacentral:tRNA from 1 species
GGGAAUGUGGCUUAGUGGUAGAGGGCUUGCCUAGCAUGCAUGAAGUCCUGGGUUCAAUUCCCCAGCACCA